rnacentral:misc_RNA from 4 species
GUACCCUCAAGCUUUGCUUGGUGUUGGGCGUCUUGUCUCCAGUUCGCUGGAGACUCGCCUUAAAGUAAUUGGCAGCCGGCCUACUGGUUUCGGAGCGCAGCACAAGUCGCGCUCUCUUCCAGCCAAGGUCAGCAUCCACAAAGCCUUUUUUCAAC